rnacentral:rRNA from 1 species
UAGAGUUUGAUCAUGGCUCAGGAUGAACGCUAGCGGCAAGCCUAACACAUGCAAGUCGAACGGUAACUUUUGGUGCUUGCACCGAAAGACGAGUGGCGAACGGGUGCGUAACGCGUAUGCAAUCUGCCUUUUACUAGGGUAUAGCCCAGAGAAAUUUGGAUUAAUCCCCUAUAAUAUCAUUUAAUCGCAUGAUUUUAUGAUUAAAGCUUCGGCGGUAAAAGAUGAGCAUGCGUCCUAUUAGUUAGUAGGUGAGGUAACGGCUCACCUAGACUCCGAUAGGUAGGGGUCCUGAGAGGGAGAUCCCCCACACUGGUACUGAGACACGGACCAGACUCCUACGGGAGGCAGCAGUGAGGAAUAUUGGACAAUGGACGAAAGUCUGAUCCAGCUAUGCCGCGUGCAGGAUGACGGCCCUAUGGGUUGUAAACUGCUUUUAUACAGGAAGAAAAACUCCGACGUGUCGGAACUUGACGGUACUGUAAGAAUAAGGAUCGGCUAACUCCGUGCCAGCAGCCGCGGUAAUACGGAGGAUCCAAGCGUUAUCCGGAAUCAUUGGGUUUAAAGGGUCCGUAGGCGGUUUUUUAAGUCAGAGGUGAAAUCCUGCAGCUCAACUGUAGAAUUGCCUUUGAUACUGAGAGACUUGAGUUAUUGUGAAGUGGUUAGAAAUGUGUGGUGUAGCGGUGAAAUGCAUAGAUAUCACACAGAAUACC